CAAUCAACCACCAAUACUCUCUCUCUCUCUCUCUCUCUCUCUCUCUCUCUCUCUCUCUCUCACUGCAGUUUUCUCUUGGUUUUAUAAUCAAAAUGAAUAAAAACAACAACACGAGCUACCAAGCUGGAAAAGCUGUGGGCCAAGCUCAGGAAAAGAGCAGCAACUUGAUGAACAAUGCCAAAACAUCAGUUCUAGGGGCUGGAAAGCAGGUGCAGACUAAGACGCAAGAAGCAGUUAAUUAUGUGAAGGGUGCAGUUACUAAAAAGUGAAAGCCUCAACAUGCAGUUGCAUCCAAUAAUUUUUACUUUAUUAUUUUACUGUUUGUUUUCAGUUUGUGAUGGUGUUUAUGUUUUGAACUUUGUGUUUAUGAUUUCAUCUUUUAUGGAGUAGUAGUAUUUGUUAAUUAAUUGUUCAUAUGUAUUGUUUGGGGACCUCAAGAAUUAGUAUUGUGUAUGUUUUGCUCGA